CGGGGUGUGGUGUAAUGGUAGCACGAGUCCUUUGGGAGGAUUUAGUCCGGGUUCAAAUCUCGGCACCCCGA
rnacentral:tRNA from 2 species